rnacentral:rRNA from 1 species
AUUGAACGCUGGCGGUAUGCUUAACACAUGCAAGUCGAACGGCAGCAUGGUCUAGCUUGCUAGACUGAUGGCGAGUGGCGGACGGGUGAGUAACGCGUAGGAAUACGCCUUGAAGAGUGGGACAACUUGGGGAAACUCAAGCUAAUACCGCAUGUACUCGAGAGAGUAAAGCUGGGGACCUUUAGGCCUGGCGCUUUAAGAUUAGCCUGCGUCCGAUUAGCUAGUUGGUAGGGUAAAGGCCUACCAAGGCGACGAUCGGUAGCUGGUCUGAGAGGAUGAUCAGCAACACUGGAACUGAGAGACGGUCCAGACUCCUACGGGAGGCAGCAGUGGGGAAUAUUGGACAAUGGGGGGAACCCUGAUCCAGCAAUGCCGCGUGUGUGAAGAAGGCCUGAGGGUUGUAAAGCACUUUCAGUGGGGAGGAGGUUUGGAAGGUUAAGAGCUAUUCAAAUGGACGUUACCCAAAGAAGCACCGGCUAACUCCGUGCCAGCCGCCGCCGUAA